rnacentral:rRNA from 1 species
AGUGAACGCUGGCGGUAGGCCUAACACAUGCAAGUCGAACGGCAGCACAGUAAGAGCUUGCUCUUACGGUUGGCGAGUGGCGGACGGGUGAGGCAUACAUCGGAAUCUACUUUUUCGUGGGGGAUAACGUAGGGAAACUUACGCUAAUACCGCAUACGACCUACGGGUGAAAGCAGGGGAUCUUCGGACCUUGCGCGUUUGAAUGAGCCGAUGUCGGAUUAGCUAGUUGGCGGGGUAAAGGCCCACCAAGGCGACGAUCCGUAGCUGGUCUGAGAGGAUGAUCAGCCACACUGGAACUGAGACACGGUCCAGACUCCUACGGGAGGCAGCAGUGGGGAAUAUUGGACAAUGGGCGCAAGCCUGAUCCAGCCAUACCGCGUGGGUGAAGAAGGCCUUCGGGUUGUAAAGCCCUUUUGUUGGGAAAGAAAAGCAGCAGGUUAAUACCCCGCUGUUCUGACGGUACCCAAAGAAUAAGCACCGGCUAACUUCGUG